UUGCUACUUUACAUUUCAUUUCCAUUUUCCAGGAUUUAAGGUUUUAGCGAAAUGUCGGAUGACGAAGCGAGGGAGGAGAAGGAGUUGGAUCUCACUUUCCCAGACGUUGUUACC